UCAUUGGUGGUUCAGGGGUAGAAUUCUCACCUUCCAUGCCGGAGGCCUUGGUUCAAUUCCCAGCCGAUGCA
rnacentral:tRNA from 1 species